rnacentral:rRNA from 1 species
CAGCAGUCGCCGCGGGAAUACGAGGGGGGCAAGCGUUAUCCGGAUUUAUUGGGUUUAAAGGGUGCGUAGGCGGCCUGUUAAGUCAGGGGUGAAAGACGGUGGCUCAACCAUCGCAGUGCCUUUGAUACUGACGGGCUUGAAUGCAGCUGAGGUAGGCGGAAUGUGACAAGUAGCGGUGAAAUGCAUAGAUAUGUCACAGAACCCCGAUUGCGAAGGCAGGCUACUACGACUUGAUUGACACUGAGGCACGAGAGCAUGGGGAGCCAACAGGAUUAGAUACCCCCGUAGUCCCUGUCUCUUAUAC